rnacentral:rRNA from 1 species
UUUACUGGCUAGGGGUGAAAUUCCAAUUGAACCUGGAGAUAGCUGGUUCUCCCCGAUAUAGUUUUAGGACUAGCGUCAGAAUUAGUGCAAUGGAGGUAAAGCUCUKAAUGUAYGAUGGCCCCACCUCGGGGUACUGAAUGCAAUUAAACUGCGAAUGCCAUUGUUACAUAUCUGGCAGUCAGUCUAUGGGUGAUAAGKUCCAUGGACCCUGAGGGAAACAGCCCAKAUCAUCAGCUAAGGUCCCCAAAUCACUGCUAAGUGGAAAAGGAUGUGUAAUUGUUCAGACCGCUAGGAGGUUGGCUUAGAAGCCACCAUCCUUUAAAGAGUGCGUUACAACUCAAUCKCCGAACGAUUCUGCSCGGAAAAUGUACCGGGGCUCAGCAUUGUACCUAAGCGUCCGAGUCUAUGAUAUAUGUKUACAUAUCGUGGGCGGYAGGGGAGCGUYACCCUCUGCACAGGAAGCCAGACAGGAAGCACUAGCGGAGCGUUUAGAAGUGAGAAUGCCGCCCCUGAGUAAGGACCGUAAGUGAUAAWGGGCCAUGCCGAUUGACCAAGGUUUCCUGGGCUAGGUUCGUCCACUCAGGGUUGGACAAGACCUUAUCUGAGGGCGAGAUGGGAAUUCCACGGACAACCAGUA